GAAGUUUUCAAAAGCUCUGUGGUAGAGCGCUCGCUUAGCAUGCGAGAGAUAUGAGGAUCGAUACCUUGCAUCUCCA
rnacentral:tRNA from 1 species